ensembl:lncRNA
ACUAAAACAGCAAUAAAAACUGCCAGGGGAAAACCUAAAAAGAAAUGUGCAAAACACCAAGACAACUGGAAGACUUCCCCCGAAUAAGGGAAGACUUGAAUUCCUAGAGAAAUAACCACAUCGCUGGAUGGGAAGUCGCAACACCGUCCUCGUAUCAAAUCUGGGCAAAUUAAUCUACCAAAAAACAAAUCCCGGGGAAGCGUUGUCACCUGGUGACAAUCUGUUACAGAAUCUGGCGCUUCACUUUGAGGUUCCCGACGUGCGCGGCAACACGUUGCGAAACAAAACUACGCGCCUGCAACCCCGCUGGAUGGCCCCGCGGCCGGAAGAGCCACGUCGGCUCCGCCCACCUUUGUGUCGUGGGCGGGGCGUUUCCAACCGGCUGACGCGCACGCGCUGGGAGGCCCCGCCCCCCAUCCCGCCUCCCGCGAUAUCGUGUGGUCGGGCAUCAAGCUGUGGGGCGGUCGCCAGCUCGGUUCUUCGGGACCUUCGGGACAGGGCUGGGGAGCCCGCCCAAAAAGGUCGUUUCUCCUGCAGUUUCCAACAUGGCAGGCAAGUUUUAUAGACAUGGAUAAGAAGUCCAUACACAGAAGUCCUGAAGAUGCCGGGACCGGCAGAAAUGGAGGACAAAAGAUGAAACAUCAAGAAAAAGAAAGAGAAGAAAAAAAGGAGGGAAUGGCCACAUGCUAUCACCUUUCCAAGAGGGGCUGAAACCAGGCUAAACUCGUUGAUUUCUGAAACUCAGUCCUUUGGUGUAAGGUGGCCAAACGAGAAUGCAGAGCCCAGCACGGUGAAAGCUACAGUGGAGGAGCUUGGGGACGGCACGUCUUUCACACCACGUCUAGACUCCUGACACCAAUCUUCACGUCCCCUGUAACCACACAAUAAAAAGUUGGGAAAUCACAUUGUGUUUAUGAAGAUCCACGUCCAACACCGGAGAGCCUGACGACAAGCCAGUUGUGGCCAUUUUAGGAUGCUUACCCUGUUUGCAAAUAUUCUGUAGGGAAGGAGGAGAUUGAGCCUACUUCUCUUAAAUGUAUGCCUAAUAAUUGCAACUAAAAUACUUACACCAAAGUCCUACACAAAGCAGAAGACUUACAGAUGGCAUGAAAAAGCUAAAGCCUUCCCAAGUUUCAUGUUUCUGUUUUUUACUAAUGUCCCCUUCUUUCAACAAGUGUUAUCAGUUUUCGUAAUCUCAGUGUUUGUUCUGGAGCCUGAUGUAAUGUUCUUUUACUCUUGUUACUCCAGGUACACUGAUGAUAAGUUUCCAACCAAAAGCUUUCAUCUCUAAAGAUGAUCACUUUGUUUAUAAAACAAGAAAGGAGAAAGCAGUUCCCCAGUCAGCCCUUGCUGUUGCCUCUAACGGUUUUACGCAUCGUUGGGCCUUUUGCUCGCUUGGGUUUGUGAGGGAAUGUGUGUCCAAUCUAACCAUGUCCUUGAUAGUUGCCUUUAAAAGAAGCUCCUGCUAGAAGUGAAUGAUGGCGACAGGGCUAGGUUUAUUGUUUUGAACUGGAAGUUGAGGUACUAUUAUUUUGUUAUUCAGGCAAAACUAAAAGAUUGAAAUUAAUCUUGAAUAGGGGCUGGCCCCACGCCCCGGUGGUUAAGUUUGGCGCUCUCUUCUUCUGUGGCCCAGAUUCAGCUCCUGGGUGCAGACCUACACCACUUGUCAGCAGCCGUGCUGUGGUGGUGACCCACGUACAAAAUAGAGGAAGAUCAGCACAGAUGUUAGCUCAGAGACAAUCUUCCUCACCAAAAAGUAAAUUAAAAUUAAAAAAUAAAUGAAUAAUCUUGAAUGCUGUUUUGUGCUGAAGUUAGAGUUUAAGAUGUUAUUCAUAUCACCGUAAUGUGGUGGUGUUACUGAAUGCCAUUCCUUGAAGGGUUUUUUCCCUUCAAAGUAAAAUUAUAAUAGGAUUGUAGUUAAAUUAAAUUAAGCAUCUUUAUCUUUGAUUAUAAAGAGAUUUAGCACAACUGUACAUUAUUUUUCCUCCUAUAUUGUGUUGGACUCCUAGUAUUUGUGUAUCAAGAAAGCAUUUCCUUAUAUUUGAAUGAUAACAUUUUAAAAACAUACCAGCAGAGGACAUAGGUUUUUUGCUUUUUGGUAUUUUUUUUUUUCAUUUUUGAUUUACUGAAGAAAUAAAGGCAUUUUAGUUUGCAAAUGGACUGUUUUCUUUUUUCCAGGAAAACUAAAAUUCACAAUUAUGGGAUAACCAUGGUCUCUUCAAGAGGACAAAAUAAAAUAUAGGCAUUAGACAUUAAAGUUAUUCCAAAACUUUGUUUUAAUUUGCGGAUUAACUAAAACAGUGAGCAUGCUCUCUGGAGGAGAGCAUAAGAGCAGUGGCAGGACUAGAUGGAGGUCUGAAGCAGUGCAGCCCUUCUCUGCUUUCCUUCCUAACUUCAAGCCUCUUUACCCAGAUGCAUAGUGUUUAUAAUGGGCCACAUUAUUGUUUAAAACCUCACUUUUGAGAACUAUAACGCUUUACAGGAUAAAAAUUAAAUUUACCGAAAGAAUCAUGUAAAAAAUUUGAGAAAGGCAAGAGAUAGCUUUAAUGGAGAGAAUAUAAAAGAGACUUUUAAAUAUGUUCUAGUAGAAAAAACUGUGGACUGCAAUCAGGAGACCUGAGUCCUCAUGCUGAUUUGUCCCCACGAAGCUGUUUUCCUCAUCAGCAGAGGCUGAUGUACCAGGAAGCUGAUGAUGCUUAAGCCUCAAGGCCCUGCCAAGGCCUGAGGAGGGUCCCUAGCACUAUGCUUACAUGGUUUUAUGCUUUCGUUGCACUAAGGUACAGGGACAGAGGUCUUACUACAAUAUAAACGUGUCCCAGGGUGCCUGGCACUGGAAGUUAAGUGAGUAUUAGAGAAGAAACAAGGUUUGAAAUAUAUGGAGCCAGGGGCUGGCCCAUGGCCAACUGGUUAAGUUGGCAUGCUCCGCUUCA